CUGGGCUCCUCUAGAAAGUUUAUCAGAUUGCUCCUGAUAUUUAAAACAACAACAACAACAGCUGCAGCAAGAAAACACAGAUGGCCACUCACCACCUCGGGUCUUGCACUGACUUGGUGCUAGAACUCUUCAUGGGCAGAGCGUCUGAUUCAUGCCCACACAGCAAUGUAAUUUAAGCCACACAUUCAUGUCCAUGAAGCUCCCAUUGGCUAGACUCCUGGUCCUACCUCCAAGCUGCCAUGUAAGAAGUCCUUUUCACCUCCCGCCAUGAUUCUGAGACCUCCCCAGCCAUGUGGAACUGUAAGUCCAGUUAAACCUAUUUUUCUUCCCAGUCUCAGGUAUGUCUUUAUGAGCAGCGUGAAAACAGACUAAUACAAGUGGGAUGCUUUGUUUAUGACUGUGCUGAGUAAGAGGCCAGUUUUUAUCAUGGUAGUGUUUCAUCAGGGUUCUCCAGAGAAUUGGAGCAGGGUGUGUGUGUGUGUGUGUGUGUGUAUGUACACAGAGAGAGAUUUUUUAAGAAAUUGACACACACGACCAGGUGCAGCAGCGCAUACCUGUAAUCCCAGCAUUUUGGGAGGCC
rnacentral:lncRNA from 1 species